AACGGGGCAUUUUAUUUCGGUAAGAUGUCAAGUGGCGAACGGGUGAGUAACACGUGGGCAACCUGCCCUUCAGACGGGGACAACAUUCCGAAAGGAGUGCUAAUACCGGAUACGCCCGCACCUACGCAUGUAGGUGCGGGGAAAGGAUGGCCUCUAUUUAUAAGCUAUCGCUGAAGGAUGGGCCUGCGUCCGAUUAGUUAGUUGGUGAGGUAACGGCCCACCAAGACGAUGAUCGGUAGCCGGUCUGAGAGGAUGAACGGCCACAUUGGGACUGAGACACGGCCCAGACUCCUACGGGAGGCAGCAGUGGGGAAUCUUCCACAAUGGACGAAAGUCUGAUGGAGCAACGCCGCGUGAGCGAUGAAGGAUUUCGGUCUGUAAAACUCUGUUGUUCAUGACGAACGUUUCCUGGGUUAAUAAUCCAGGGGAGUGACGGUAGUGAACGAGGAAGCCACGGCUAACUACGUGCCAGCAGCCGCGGUAAUACGUAGGUGGCGAGCGUUGUCCGGAAUUAUUGGGCGUAAAGAGCAUGUAGGCGGCUUUUUAAGUCGGUCGUGAAAAUGCGGGGCUUAACCCCGUAUUGCGGUCGAAACUGGAGGGCUUGAGUGCAGGAGAGGAAAGGGGAAUUCCC
rnacentral:rRNA from 1 species